GUGGGUCCCCGCCGCCCGGCCUCCCGCCCCUCCCCGCCACUCGCGGAAGGCCGGCGCGCCCUCGCCGACGCGCCGCCCGCUCGCCCCUUUCCUCUCCGUGACAUCUUAUAUAAUAACCCGAGCGAAUCGAAACGGAAGCGGCGCGCGCGGCCGGGGCCCGGUUCCCGGCCGCCGCUGGGUGCCCGCGCCCCGAGCCCCCGGCCCCCGAGCUAGGCGCCGGAGCGCGCGGCUCCGCGGGGAGGGCCAGAGCGCCGCCUCGGCUCGUCCCUCCUCGCAGAAGGCGCUGCCGCUGCCCGGUCCCCGUCAGGAAGCCGCGAGCGUCACAAACUGCGUCAGCUUCUUCAAACACGUCUCACGGGCCCCUCCGGCCGGGGAGCCGCCGCUGGGGCAGCCGGGCCGCGGCCCGGGCUGGCUGGAGCCCCCGCGGGGAGGAGAAAGUUGCUCGGGGCCCGGCCGCGCCGCGCCUCCGGGCCCUCGCCGCGCAGCCCGCCCCGAUGGCAGGAGAGGAACCUGCGGCAGGGAGAUGUCAGUGACAGAAGCUUGAAUUCCCAGUCAUCAUUCCACGCUCUGUCC
ensembl:lncRNA